UUGAACACAGGUGCGCUCUGUGGCUGACGUUCUAUUUUCAAGGACGAAGACAAGGAAUUAGGGAGCCUGAUGUCUUCUGCUUCAAGAGGCAUUACGUCAGAGGCUGCCUGUGGUGUGAGGAAGAUGAGGGCAGCACAGACACGGUCGUGGUGGCGAGGAAGCUAAGAGCUUCUUCUGGUGAUGAUUCCAUGCUGACGCCACCAACCCACCAGCCCGGCACACGCACCUCACUAAUGGAAGCCUUGGGGAGCCAGACCGAGGCAGUCAGCAGCCCUAGGUCCAUUGGAUAUUUUCUACAAACAGUUUUGCAAACUGAAUUUCUUAGAACAGUUGCUGCAUUCUUGAU
rnacentral:lncRNA from 1 species